rnacentral:rRNA from 1 species
UCCAGACUCCUACGGGAGGCAGCAGUGAGGAAUAUUGGUCAAUGGGCGGGAGCCUGAACCAGCCAAGUCGCGUGAAGGAAGAAGGUACUUAGUAUUGUAAACUUCUUUUGUCGGGGAACAAAGGCGGAGACGCGUCUCCGGAUGAGUGUACCCGAAGAAAAAGCAUCGGCUAACUCCGUGCCAGCAGCCGCGGUAAUACGGAGGGGGCAAGCGUUAUCCGGAUUUACUGGGUGUAAAGGGAGCGUAGACGGACUUGCAAGUCUGAUGUGAAAAUCCGGGGCCCAACCCCGGAACUGCAUUGGAAACUGUAUAUCUAGAGUGUCGGAGAGGCAAGUGGAAUUCCUGGUGUAGCGGUGAAAUGCGUAGAUAUCAGGAGGAACACCAGUGGCGAAGGCGGCUUGCUGGACGAUGACUGACGUUGAGGCUCGAAAGCGUGGGGAGCAAACAGGAUUAGAUACCCCCGUA